rnacentral:rRNA from 1 species
UCCGCAGGCGGUUGCGUGCGUUUGUGGGGACAGCUCUUCGCUUAACGAAGAGAGCCCUAUGAAGACGGCGCAGCUAGAGGGCCAGAGAGGGACAUGGAACUCCGGGUGGAGUGGUGAAAUGCGUAGAGAUCCGGAAGAACACCGAAGGCGAAGGCAGUGUCCUGGCUGGUACCUGACGCUCGGGGACGAAAGCGAGGGGAGCGAACG